rnacentral:rRNA from 1 species
GAUGAACGCUGGCGGCGUGCCUAAUACAUGCAAGUCGAGCGAACAGACGAGGAGCUUGCUCCUCUGACGUUAGCGGAGGACGGGUGAGUAACACGUGGAUAACCUACCUAUAAGACUGGGAUAACUUCGGGAAACCGGAGCUAAUACCGGAUAAUAUAUUGAACCGCAUGGUUCAAUAGUGAAAGACGGUUUUGCUGUCACUUAUAGAUGGAUCCGCGCCGCAUUAGCUAGUUGGUAAGGUAACGGCUUACCAAGGCAACGAUGCGUAACCGACCUGUGAGGCUGAUCGGCCACACUGGAACUGAGACACGGUCCAGACUCCUACGGGAGGCAGCAGUAGGGAAUCUUCCGCAAUGGGCGAAAGCCUGACGGAGCAACGCCGAGUGAGUGAUGAAGGUCUUCGGAUCGUAAAACUCUGUUAUUAGGGAAGAACAAAUGUGUAAGUAACUAUGCACGUCUUGACGGUACCUAAUCAGAAAGCCACGGCUAACUACGUG